rnacentral:lncRNA from 1 species
CGGGUAUCAUUUAUAAAAAUAAUACAAGAUAAACAUUUAAGCUUCAGAAUGAUACCAAAUUCAUUAAAAUCGACAAAUGUCUUGUUUAAUAAUUACGAAGUAGUACUUUCAAAAGCACAUUCAUGACGCGCCGACGCAGAAGUCGCCACCAUCUUGAAAAUUUGAAAACGUACAUCGGUAUGAAAAUAACCGAUAACCUAGCGAUUAAGUUAUAAAACCUGAUCGAGAUUUAAAUGAAUAAACUAAAAAUGCAAGGCCCUAGUUUUGUUUUAGUAAAUAAUUUGUCAAAAUAAUUUUAUAAGGCUGAAAUUUAAGUUGAAAGUGCACGGCCGCAUUCAAGCAAGCCGAAAUUUUGAAUUAUUAUUCGCAAUGAACCAUAGGUAUUCACAUGUAUGUUUAUUUUACUUAAUACUGUAUGAUUAGAUAGAAAAAAAAACAGAUUCUUAGUCAAUCAUUGAUUCAAACUAGUGUAUGUAUCGCAGAAACUUGAUAAAAAUAGUGGCAGACGAUCUAAUCUAGCAAAUUUCACAGUAUGUACUUUUUACGUAGCAUUCUACUUUCGUUUUCGUAUGCCCAAAACAAAAGAAAAAUGUAACUUUCCAUGUAGAUUUGUCUUCUAAAUCUUACUGACAACGAAGAACAAUGGGUUUAAUCAGCGAUAUAGGUACACAGUCAUUGAUUACAUGUAGAUUUGACGAACUGCCUAUGCUCUUAACGUAAUUCAAUGGUGAAAUG